rnacentral:rRNA from 1 species
UAGUCAUAUGCUUGUCUCAAAGAUUAAGCCAUGCAUGUCUAAGUAUAAACUGCUUUAUACUGUGAAACUGCGAAUGGCUCAUUAAAUCAGUUAUAGUUUAUUUGAUGGUACUUACUUACUCGGAUACCCGUAGUAAUUCUAGAGCUAAUACGUGCGUACAUCCCGACUUCUGGAAGGGACGUAUUUAUUAGAUAAAAGGCCGACCGGGCUUGCCCGACUCGCGGUGACUCAUGAUAACUUCACGAAUCGCAUGGCCUUGCGCCGGCGAUGUUUCAUUCAAAUUUCUGCCCUAUCAACUUUUGAUGGUAGGAUAGAGGCCUACCAUGGUGGUAACGGGUGACGGAGAAUUAGGGUUCGAUUCCGGAGAGGGAGCCUGAGAAACGGCUACCACAUCCAGGGAAGGCAGCAGGCGCGCAAAUUACCCAAUCUCGAUACGAGGAGGUAGUGACAAGAAAUAACAAUGCAGGGCUCGAAGAGUCUUGUAAUUGGAAUGAGAACAACCCAAACCACUUAACGAGGAACAAUU